GACGAACGCUGGCGGCGUGCUUAACACAUGCAAGUCGAACGGAAAGGCCCUGCUUUUGUGGGGUGCUCGAGUGGCGAACGGGUGAGUAACACGUGAGUAACCUGCCCUUGACUUUGGGAUAACUUCAGGAAACUGGGGCUAAUACCGGAUAGGAGCUCCUGCUGCAUGGUGGGGGUUGGAAAGUUUCGGCGGUUGGGGAUGGACUCGCGGCUUAUCAGCUUGUUGGUGGGGUAGUGGCUUACCAAGGCUUUGACGGGUAGCCGGCCUGAGAGGGUGACCGGCCACAUUGGGACUGAGAUACGGCCCAGAGUGCUACGGGAGGCAGCAGGGGGGAAUAUUGCACAAUGGGCGGAAGCCUGAUGCAGCAACGCCGCGUGCGGGAUGACGGCCUUCGGGGUGUAAACCGCUUUGGCCUGUGACGAAGCGUGAGUGACGGUAAUGGGUAAAGAAGCACCGGCUAACUACGUG
rnacentral:rRNA from 1 species